rnacentral:rRNA from 1 species
GACGAACGCUGGCGGCGUGCUUAACACAUGCAAGUCGAACGGAAAGGCCCCUUCGGGGGUACUCGAGUGGCGAACGGGUGAGUAACACGUGAGUAACCUGCCCUUGACUUCGGGAUAACUUCAGGAAACUGGGGCUAAUACCGGAAAGGAAUCCUUGCUGCAUGGUGGGGGUUGGAAAGCUGCGGCGGUUUUGGAUGGACUCGCGGCUUAUCAGCUUGUUGGUGGGGUAGUGGCUUACCAAGGCUUUGACGGGUAGCCGGCCUGAGAGGGCGACCGGCCACAUUGGGACUGAGAUACGGCCCAGACUCCUACGGGAGGCAGCAGUGGGGAAUAUUGCACAAUGGGCGGAAGCCUGAUGCAGCAACGCCGCGUGCGGGAUGACGGCCUUCGGGUUGUAAACCGCUUUCAGCAGGGGCGAAGCUUGUGGUGACGGUACCUGCAGAAGAAGCACCGGCUAACUACGUG